GUGGGGAAUCUUGCGCAAUGGGCGAAAGCCUGACGCAGCCAUGCCGCGUGAAUGAUGAAGGUCUUAGGAUUGUAAAAUUCUUUCACCGGGGACGAUAAUGACGGUACCCGGAGAAGAAGCUCCGGCUAACUUCGUGCCAGCAGCCGCGGUAAUACGAAGGGGGCUAGCGUUGCUCGGAAUUACUGGGCGUAAAGGGCGCGUAGGCGGACAGCUUAGUCAGAGGUGAAAGCCCAGGGCUCAACCUUGGAAUUGCCUUUGAUACUGGCUGUCUUGAGUUUGGGAGAGGUGAAUGGAACUCCGAGUGUAGAGGUGAAAUUCGUAGAUAUUCGGAAGAACACCAGUGGCGAAGGCGACUCACUGGCCCAAUACUGACGCUGAGGCGCGAAAGCGUGGGGAGCAAACAGGAUUAGAAACCCCGGUAGUCC
rnacentral:rRNA from 1 species